rnacentral:rRNA from 1 species
UACGGAGGGUGCAAACGUUGCUCGGAAUCAUUGGGCGUAAAGCGCACGUAGGCGGCCUGUUAAGUCGGGUGUGAAAGCCCUGGGCUCAACCCAGGAAGUGCACUCGAAACUGGCGGGCUUGAAUAUGGAAGAGGGUCGCGGAAUUCCCGGUGUAGAGGUGAAAUUCGUAGAUAUCGGGAGGAACACCAGUGGCGAAGGCGGCGACCUGGGCCAAUAUUGACGCUGAGGUGCAAAAGCGUGGGGAGCAAACAGG